rnacentral:snRNA from 1 species
AUGCUCACUUUGGCAGCACAUAUACUAAAAUUGGGAUGAUACAGAGAAGAGUAACAUAGCCCCUAUUUAAAAAAAAAUUUAAAAACACCAAGUGUUUAUCAAAACUUUU